rnacentral:rRNA from 1 species
GACGAACCGAGCGAACGUUGUUCGGAAUCACUGGGCUUAAAGGGCGCGUAGGCGGGCUGUCAAGUCUGGGGUGAAAUCCCACGGCUCAACCGUGGAACUGCCUUAGAUACUGACGGCCUCGAGGGAGAUAGGGACGAGCGGAACUGUGAGUGGAGCGGUGAAAUGCGUUGAUAUUCACAGGAACUCCGGUGGCGAAGGCGGCUCGCUGGAUCUUUUCUGACGCUGAGGCGCGAAAGCUAGGGGAGCAAACGGG